GACGAACGCUGGCGGCGUGCUUAACACAUGCAAGUCGAGCGGAAAGGCCCUUCGGGGUACUCGAGCGGCGAACGGGUGAGUAACACGUGGGCAAUCUGCCCCUCGCUCUGGGAUAACUCCGGGAAACCGGGGCUAAUACCGGAUACGACCACUUUAGGCAUCUUCGGUGGUGGAAAGUUUUUCGGCGAGGGAUGAGCCCGCGGCCUAUCAGCUUGUUGGUGGGGUAAUGGCCUACCAAGGCAGUGACGGGUAGCCGGCCUGAGAGGGCGACCGGCCACACUGGGACUGAGACACGGCCCAGACUCCUACGGGAGGCAGCAGUGGGGAAUAUUGCGCAAUGGGCGAAAGCCUGACGCAGCGACGCCGCGUGAGGAUGACGCU
rnacentral:rRNA from 1 species